UGGGGAAUUUUGCACAAUGGGGGAAACCCUGAUGCAGCGACGCCGCGUGAUUUAGAAGGCCUUCGGGUUGUAAAAAUCUUUUCUAUGGGAAGAAAAUGACAGUACCAUAGGAAUAAGGACCGGCUAAUUACGUGCCAGCAGCCGCGGUAAUACGUAAGGUCCGAGCGUUGUCCGGAAUCAUUGGGCGUAAAGGGUACGUAGGCGGGUAAGCAAGUUAGAAGUGAAAUCCUAUAGCUCAACUAUAGUAAGCUUUUAAAACUGCUCAUCUUGAGGUAUGGAAGGGAAAGUGGACUUCCUAGUGUAGCGGUGAAAUGCGCAGAUAUUAGGAGGAAUACCGGUGGCGAAGGCGACUUUCUGGCCAUAACCUGUCGCUGAGGUACGAAAGCGUGGGUAGCAAACAGG
rnacentral:rRNA from 1 species